UAAAUCCAUGCUGUGUGGAAACUCUGCUCACACCGGUGUUGGGAAGAAUUGUCUGAAACUGACCAAUUGUGGGCCACCUCUCUGUCGAAAAUAGAAGUAACUAAUGACCUCUGCAUGUUCCAGGCACGAGACCAGAUAAUGAUGCUGUCCACUUUCAGGCUGAGUCCUUCCCAUGUCAACCAAGGAAAUCAAGACAAUCCAUCACAGACUACCCAGAAGCCAACAUGGUCUAGACUCUCCCUCACUGAGACUCUGCCCAGGGUCUCAGAUGCUUUGCACUUUCCGGUAGAAACCUGGUGUGCUCAACCCAUCUGUCCACGGAUUUCUCUUUCAACACGUAAGCCACAGUGACAGGGUGUAGCCUUCUGACUCCAACUCUUAUGAGAAUAAAGACUAAAGAUUCACAACAAAAUUGUUUAAAGUAAUAAACUGUCACUGGGUUCAUCAAAAUAAUGUAAACAAGCAAGCUUCAACCCCUGGCUUAUGCACAAAACGACUUUCUGCUCUGGUCUCUCAUUCCUUUGAGCAGUAGCUGUCCACUCCCUGAAGCCUUCUUCACCUCUGCUUCCAGCCCUGUGACUUGAUUUGACCUCAGGACAGACGGAGUUAUAUGCACAUUCAAUCUUAUUGGGUGUGACCCAGGUCAGAGACAUAGAAUGGGCUCUGACCAUUGAUCUUGACCUUUAGGUGCCUUGAGUAACACUAGGUCAAAGUAGAUCAGGUGGUGUGGGCAAUUCUUGGAGCUCCUGGACCUUAUUGGCCUGAAAGGCAGAAGAUUCUCUUAACACAGGUAAGGCUUUACUGGAUAUAAAAAUCCAGGCAUGAUCGCGCCUUCAGAGAAACCUCAAAUUCAAAAUUCAAAUUCAUCCCAGUUGUAAGCACCCUUCUUUUAAGAAAACCGAGUAAGAUUUAGGAACAGGAGAAAUUGUUUGGCAUGUAGCAAUAUAUCAGAGUCUCUGUCACCUUCUUCUUCUAUGCCGCUCAUUUUCAACAAUGACUGAAUAAUCUUGUUACUCUUAAACAAAAUUUCUGACUUGGACAAAAGCACGCAACCUCUACUAUUAAGUAGAGGACGUUUGGCGUCUUUGUGGCAGAGGAGUCCCGGCUUGUGUAGGAGCUUUGUCGUCUUUACAGUGGAUGCCGGAAAGUCGUGCUGUGUGAGGUGCAGUUUUCUCGAUGAUUUAAAGUCUGAGUAGGUGGGCCUGGGAGAGUGAGUGCCUGCCUCUAACUCCAAGACCUCGUUAAUUUACAUACUUUCCAAUAAGAAAACAGUUUCAUGUGCCUGCCAUCCAGGGCUAUGCUAAAUUGAACUGAACUGACAGACCUAUCUCUUAUAGUCUAAAAACCCAAGCAACACGGUGCAUAUCCAAGUCAUUGUGUUCUCUGGAGAAGGAGUCAGGAAGGAAGAACAAAAACAUCAGCUACUUGCAGCCGGCUAAGUUUGAUGACCUAAAAAAAAAAGAGUGACCUAGAAGAAUUUCGAGGGCUUUCCUCCUGCUCUCUAAAACUCUGAGAAAAGCAGAAAACCAGUUUCUCUCCUGGAAGUCUGGGUAAUAGCAUGAGUGCGGCUGACUCUUUGGAAAGAAAAAGGCAAUCUCAGCCCAUUGGAAUAGUAAACUAAAUGACUCAAGUGUAAUUGCAUUAAAUCCUAUAAUUAAUUGCAUUAAAUUGAAUAAAACAGUGCAAAUGUCCCCAAAAGAUAGAUCUUUAGGUUACUCUUCUGUUAAGUAACAAAAGUCAAAUUCCCAAGUCUUGCUUCUUUCCGAGAGGGAAUGUCAGCCACAGUGAGGUGGCGGUUCUUGUAUGCUAAGUGCAGAGGAUUGGAUGGGAAAGUGCCACCCCCUAGCCUCCCAGUUCCUGUUGUAUACAUUUUAUCAUUUGCUUAUUGUGUGUUAGGGAAUGCAUUUGCAGGCCGAAGUGCACGUGUGGAGACCCUUCAGGAGUCAGCCCUCUCCUUACACCACAUGGCUUCUGCAGAUCCAGUGCCGCUUCCUUUCUCUAAUUACAAUAGGUAACACGUUGUGAGCAUUUGUGCCCGGCUCUGUAGAGUGGGGUGUGCAGAAAGCCCAUCAGCCCUUGAAUGUGUCAGGUGGGGCAUCAGUGUGAUCUGCGGAGGGGUCACACGGCUAAUGGACGGAACAGCUGUUGGGGUUGCCGGUGAUGGGGCAUCCCAUCUGAGAUGUAGCCUCACAUCGGGAGCCCCGGGGUCUGAGUGUGGUGCUGCUCGCCUCUACUCCCAGCCCUGGGAAGCAGCAAUGGAAAGGGUCAUCACAAGCUCCGGGCCGUAGUGAAUUCUUAGUCAACUGGAACUACAUUGUAGAUCCUCCCUCAAAAUACGGAAAGCCUGCAGAUGAACACCAAAGUUGACUGCGAGGGAAUAUCGAGAGCACUAGGGAGAGAAAGAAGGUUCUUGCUUUCCGGUCUCAAGUGGGAGGUUGACGUCACUUGUUCAAGAGGUGUUGAGGAAACAGGAAAGGUGACCAUAAUAUUAGAAAUGCCCUAAGCUGAGGUUUGAGGAGGGACUUGUGAGUCAAAGGAUGCUUGCAGGGAAGGUGUCACCCGGAGCUGACUCAGCUAGGCUAGGAGAGGUGAAGGAACAUACCCAUGACAGACACGGGAAUCACCUUCCAGCUUUUCGUUCAGAUUUAGUUUCCAGAAUCUUCUUCAUGCGAUUGGUAAGGAAACACGGGUUACCUAGAACCCUGUGCACAGGAAACAGGACACAGAUUGACACGACGCUUGUCACUGUGAUCCACGCUGGAUGUCUGCUUCCUGUGUGCACCGACUUUAAAAGCUUUCCCACAGGUCACGACAAGCUUCAGCUGUCAAAUUGACACGCCCAGGAAGAGACAACCUCAGCGGAAGAACGGCCUCCGUCAGAUUGGCGGGAGGGUGUGUCUGUGGGGGGACUUUCUUGAUUCAAGAUUGACCUAGGACACCCUAGCAAACGGCCUACCCUAGGCAAACGGGUGUGGACAGUAUAAAGCCACUGUGCCGUCAGUAAUCAAUGUUCUUCCAUUCUUUCUGCUUCAGUUCCUUCCUCCAGGUUCCUGUUCUGGGCUCCUGUUGUGACUUCUCUCAAUGAUGGAUUGUGACCAGAGAGUUGGAAAAUGAAAUAAACCCUUUCUUCUCCAAGUUGCUCCUGGUCAUGGUGUUUAUCACAGCAACAGAAAAGCAUGCUAGGACUACGUGUUCUCUAAAAACUGUAAAAGAAAACUUACAUCUCUGAGAAAGAUCCACUACUCUGUUGGGACAGAUUACAUGUGGCUUGCACACACA
rnacentral:sRNA from 1 species